rnacentral:rRNA from 1 species
AUACGGAGGGUGCAAGCGUUGUUCGGAUUUAUUGGGCGUAAAGCGCGCGCAGGCGGAUUUAUAAGUCAGAUGUGAAAUCUCGGAGCUCAACUCCGAAACUGCGUCUGAAACUGUAGAUCUAGAAUGUUGUAGGGGGUAGGGGAAUUUCACGUGUAGGGGUAAAAUCCGUAGAGAUGUGAGGGAACACCGGAGGCGAAGGCGCCUACCUGGGCAAUUAUUGACGCUGAGGCGCGAAAGCGUGGGGAGCAAACAGGAUUAGAAACCCUAGUAGUCC